CAAGUCACGAAAGUUGGUAACACCCGAAGCCGGUGGCCUAACCCCUUGUGGGAGGGAGCCGUCGAAGGUGGGACCGGCGAUUGGGACUAAGUCGUAACAAGGUAGCCGUACCGGAAGGUGCGGCUGGAUCACCUCCUUUCUAAGGAGCUGCUAGCAAUGCGCGUCCUGCCUGCAUGGGUGGGGUGUGGUUGUCAGUGUUGCCCACUGCGCAGGCGUAUGUUCUGCGGUGGGUGCUCAUGGGUGGAAUAUCAACGAAUCAAACUGGUUUUGGCAUGGCCUGGUGGUUGUGUCCUGUGGUUAGUACGGCGUCUGUCCUCUUUUUUGGGGGUGGGUGUUUGGAAGGCUUGCGGGGCGGAAGAUACUUCGGUUGUGUUUGGUGCACUGUUGGGUCCUGAGGCAACAGGACCUGCAACGAUGAGUUGCCGGGGCCCCUGGGGUUUCUGGUUUUCCUGUCCUUGCCGAGCGCAUGGUGUUUCCUCCUUUGGGGGGGUGCUGUGUGGGGUGUGGGGGUUGGGGUUGUUGUUUGAGAACUACAUAGGGACGCGAGCAUCUUGAGGCAUGCACCCGUUUGUGCGGGUGUGUGUUGAUAGCAAUUUCUUAUGAAAGGACCCUGGCCCUUUGUGGUCGUGGUUCUCUCGAGUCAAGUUUGAUCUGUGUGGUCAAGUUUUUAAGGGCGCACGGUGGAUGCCUUGGCAUCAGGAGCCGAUGAAGGACGUAGGAAUCUGCGAUAAGCCUGGGGGAGUUGAUAACCGAGCGGUGAUCCCAGGAUGU
rnacentral:misc_RNA from 1 species